GAUCAUGGCUCAGGAUGAACGCUGGCGGCGUGCCUAACACAUGCAAGUCGAACGGAGAUGCGAUGUGAGCGAGAGGUGCUUGCACUGAUUAAUCUUUUCGUAUCUUAGUGGCGGACGGGUGAGUAACGCGUGGGUAACCUGCCUUAUACCGGGGGAUAACACUUAGAAAUAGGUGCUAAUACCGCAUAAGCGCACGGUGUCGCAUGACACAGUGUGAAAAACUCCGGUGGUA
rnacentral:rRNA from 1 species